rnacentral:rRNA from 1 species
CACGUAGGGUGCGAGCGUUGUCCGGAAUUAUUGGGCGUAAAGAGCUCGUAGGCGGUGUGUCGCGUCGGCCGUGAAAACCUGCAGCUUAACUGUGGGCUUGCGGUCGAUACGGGCAUCACUGGAGUUCGGCAGGGGAGACUGGAAUUCCUGGUGUAGCGGUGAAAUGCGCAGAUAUUGGGAGGAACACCUGCGGCGAAGGCGGCUACCUGGACAGAAACUGACGCUGAGGCGCGAAAGCUAGGGGAGCGAACGGG